UCGAGAAUCUUCGGCAAUGGGCGAAAGCCUGACCGAGCGACGCCGCGUGCGGGAUGAAGGCCCUCGGGUUGUAAACCGCUGUCAGUGGGGAGGAAGGCUCUGUGAAGAGCAGGGUUUGACCUAUCCGCAGAGGAAGUCCGGGCUAAGUUCGUGCCAGCAGCCGCGGUAACACGAACCGGACAAACGUUAUUCGGAAUCACUGGGCUUAAAGGGUGCGUAGGCGGCCUGACAAGUUGGGUGUGAAAUCCCUCGGCUCAACCGAGGAAUUGCGCUCAAAACUGUUGGGCUCGAGGGAGUUAGAGGUAAGCGGAACUUAGGGUGGAGCGGUGAAAUGCGUUGAUAUCCUAAGGAACACCAGUGGCGAAAGCGGCUUACUGGAGCUCUUCUGACGCUGAGGCACGAAAGCUAGGGG
rnacentral:rRNA from 1 species